GAGAUGGUGUUUUGCCACGUUGCCCAGGUCUUGAACUCCUGGGCUCAAGCGAUCCACCUGUCUAGUCCUCCCAAAGCUCUAGAAUCACAGGUGUGAGCCACUGUGCUCAGCCCAUUUACAUUCUUGAUCAAAUAAUCUCCACUCUUCUCUUAAGAUCCUGGGAACACUACAUGGGUCCCAUGAUGAUGUUUGGGACUUGCAGACUAAAUGAGACCGCCAAUUUAAUGCAUCUAUUAAUAUUAGUCAAGUUAAACGUCUUAAUUUUUGAUAAAACUAAAUGUAAGUGGAAGUUUUAGCAUUUUCUCCAGCACUCCAAUGGAUCAGCGCUGGACAUUCUGUUUGGGAGACCACUGAUCUAGAUCAAGGGCUGUUGGAAGGGCUGUGAAAUUCUUUAAUACUUAAAAAAUUAUUUAAUUUAAAAAAUUGACAGAUAACAUGAUGUUUUCAAAUAUGUCUACCUUGUGGAAUGGGAAAGUCAAGCUAAUUAACAUAUGCAUUACUUCGCAUAAAUCCUUUGAUACUUUUUAUUAGAUUCUGCCAUAUUGCUUACUAUAGCUUUGGGAAACACAGGGGCGAUAUGGAUGGAUCACCAUUGUACAGUCAAAGAAACUCACAGGAAGGCACCCUGGUCACUUCCAAGAUUGUGGACUACUGGGGCCAUCUCUGUUUUAUUACCUCUAAUCACUAAGUGAGUCUUUGCCCCAUUUUCUUAAGGCUGUGUUGUUCUUUUAGACUGGCUACAGUGGGGCUUCCAAAGAUAAGACAGAAUAUCCCAUAGCAAACAAGCUGUCAAGUUGGCCAGGGUGAUUUGUUAGGAUUUCUUUUUUGGCCAAUUAAAAAAUAGCUGUCAAAAGCACUACUUUGUAGGACUCAUUAAGGUAAUGUUCAAAUUGUCUCUAAUGGUUCUUUGACCAUGAUUAAGCAAAACAAAUAACACAAAACAAAAAUCUUCCUAUUUCCCAGAGUCCUGGGUUUAUCACAAAUGCUAUUAAGGUUACGAGUUUUGUCCUUUGAUAAAAGAAGAACCACGUUUGGAAAUUGUCAUUACCCUUUAUUUUUCAACACACACACACACACACACACACACACACACACUCCUACAUUGGUUUGUUUCUGAGCGAUGUGUAAGGGAAUUAAAAAAAUCCUUUGGUAAAUACAUAUGCUAGUGUAAAUGGGUAGAAGUUAUUAGUUUUAAACACUUCAUAUAGUAUGGAGUGCAAGUAACAAGGCUCCCAGCUGAAAUGAUUAAAAAGUGAUAUUGUAGAAAAAGGUGUGGUCCCAGACUUCCUGUACCAGUGUUACUUGUUGAGAUUGUUCUGAAUCUGCCUAUUCUCAGGUUCCUCCUCCAGGAUACUGACAUAGCAACAACACGGAUUUUUCAGGCGAUUCUUAGGAACAAUGGAGUUUGAGCACCAUUUGGUCUAGGCUGUGUGUCAAUAAAGGUAUCAACUCAAGCGUGUACACACUGCAGUCUGCUGUACUGGAAAUGACUUAUUUAUUCUACGUUCAUUCACAGCUUCUGUUUAUGGCAUAAUACCUUCUGAGAGUAGGCCAUUAUGACAACAAUGCCUCUGUUUCCUCCAGAUUCUUGGCUGUCACUAUCCUGACCUACCACCUGUGUCACAUCCCAUUAGGUUCUGUGGAUGAGGCAUGGUGCUUGGCACAGACUGACACAAGUUUGGGCAAACUUGGCAGAGCAGCCUAACCCAAAGCGAAAAACAGAAAUGAACCAAGAUACAACCUCUGUGGAAAACCCUACUGAACAAAAGCAACUCUGUGGAGUGUCCUCUCAGCUGCAAAUUGAGACAGAAUUGUGGGGCAAGCUUGGCCACUGAUGCAGAUUCUGCAGCUUGCUACACAGAAAGCCAGAGACCGAGAGCCAAUGACUGAGACUAUGAGUAUUGCCAAGGAAGAAGGCUUUAAUCGGGUGCUGCAGCUGAAAAGAUGAGAGCUCAGCCUCAAAUCCAUCUCCCUGACCAACUAAAGCUAAGGAUUUAUAUAGCAGGGAAGAAGACAGGAACUAGGAAGGGGCAAGGAAGCGAUCCUGAUGAAUGAAGGGUCAGGCAUUUCAUUGUCUGGAUGUGGCGAUCUGGGAGAGAAGAGAGGAAGGCAGAGAAGGCCUGAACAAGCCUGGCUGGGGAGGGCUCCCAGAGUCCUUGUGACAGAGAUGACUCUACCCACACUUGGGAGACUGAUGUGUCAGGAAAGCAUGCACAGCCAGUUAGGAAAGAAAUUACUCAGAGGCCCGGCCGCCCAUCGUCUGAGAUGUGGGGAGCGCCUCUGCCCCGCCGCCCCAUCUGGGAUGU
rnacentral:lncRNA from 1 species